UUGAACCGGGUAGUGCCUGUUUCGUGUUUUACGGCCAUGACUGAUAGCUGGGUCCCGCGCAACGGAAGGUUAUGAACCCCGUCAGGUCCGGAAGGAAGCAGCGGCAGUAACCCCCGCCGUGUGCCGCGGGGCAGCCCAGCUAUCAGUCAUGGCCGUAAAGGAUCGG
rnacentral:SRP_RNA from 1 species